AUUUUGAACAAAGUAGAGGAAAGAAUGAAAGAAUUGAGUCAGGACAGUACUGGGCGGGUGAAACGAUUACCACCCAUAGUGCGAGGAGGAGCCAUCGACAGAUAUUGGCCCACCGCCGAUGGGCGCCUGGUUGAAUAUGACAUAGAUGAAGUGGUAUAUGACGAAGAUUCACCUUAUCAAAAUAUAAAAAUUCUACACUCGAAGCAGUUUGGAAAUAUUCUCAUCCUUAGUGGGGAUGUUAAUUUGGCAGAGAGUGAUUUGGCAUAUACCC
rnacentral:sRNA from 1 species